rnacentral:lncRNA from 1 species
UCACGUGUGGAGGGAGAAACCAAGAGAGAUUGGAUCAACGUCGUCGCUGCCGUCGAACGACGCUCAAGAUGACGUCCCCGUCCUCGGUGACAGGUGCCAUGGAGAGCUGAUGGCGUGCAGAGGACCAUCCGAGCACUCAAAGCUUCGGGGCGGCCGAGAAUCUUCGUCAACAUUCUGUGCCAGUGUGGUUCCGUACCACAUGAGAUUCACGGAUUGUCGGAGUGGGAUUGUCGCCAUGGCAGGUGCCCUCUGGGGCCUGAAAUUCUUUGGCUGCGGGCAGCUGCUGGCCGAGGGCAAUGUAACCACGGUUUUUGUCGCAGGUGAGUGUCUCUUCCUCUGCUCUCGUUUGUUCUGGGUGGGUCUAGAGUCGUUUUGGUGCUUGCUGGUGUGCGUGCCGGACAUCACCGUGGCCGGCGGCGACGGGCAUGUCGUGGCUUGCCAGCGGGGAGGAACUGCGCGCUCUGGCUGUAGUUUGGCAAGGGGAGGAGGACGCACGGUCGCUGUUGAAAACCCGAUGAACGGCUAGGAUUAGAACAUCAUACCCUUUCGUCCCCACUAAAUGGCAGUCGUUGGUCUUCGAAUCCAUGAUCCAAAUCGAGUCACCACUAUUUUAAAUCGCUACCAUCGAUUCCUGAUCCAAGGGUCGGCAAUGAAUACCCUACGGCAUAUACUCACAGCCAGUGAUCUCUAAUCCAACGGCCGAAAUCAGCCCAUGCCCCUUCGCCGCGGCCAUUUUCAAAAAGAGCCCCUCGGGUUUCGGUGAAUUAACCCGCCGUCCACUCGGAUUGUUAACUGAGUCUGGGAAAGUUUGUAGUUUAGCCCUUGCACUUUAUAGAAUUUGAUUUGUGGUACAGAGCUUAAGGAAAAUCAGAUAAAAGAAUUUAGAAUUUGAUUUUCAAUACAAAAAUAAUUCUAGAAACUUGUAUAAUUCAUAUUAAAUUCAUUUUAACUCUAAAUUAAUUCAUUCCAGUGGCAUUAAUUUUGUUUUAAUAUUAUCUAUCAACUAGUAACACUGUUUAGCCAUGAAACUUGAAUUAAAAUUAUUCAUUUGAAUUAAUCUAUUCUAAGUGCUUAAUAAUUUCAGAAAAUCAUAACUUAACAACCGUAGCUCCGAAUUUAGUGUUUCUUGUUCCUACGACCUCGUAGCUUCGCGUAAAUCAUUAUUAUUCAAUUUGUACUUAUGUUUGAUGUGAUGUUAAUUUUGCCUAUACAUUGUUUGUUUGUAUUGCUACGACUAGCGUGAGGUCACGAGUCACCUGAAGAGCAAGUUGGUACCUGGAAUCUCAAGUCCCAGGCAAGUUGUGCCCUUGAACACUUCUUUUACCCACUCAUGUUCUAAUUAA